rnacentral:misc_RNA from 1 species
GAUGAAGAACGCAGCAAAAUGCGAUAAGUAAUGUGAAUUGCAGAAUUCAGUGAAUCAUCGAAUCUUUGAACGCACAUUGCGCCCGCUGGUAUUCCGGCGGGCAUGCCUGUUCGAGCGUCAUUUCAACCCUCAAGCCCCCGGGUUUGGUGUUGGGGAUCGGCUCUGCCCUUCUGGGCGGUGCCGCCCCCGAAAUACAUUGGCGGUCUCGCUGCAGCCUCCAUUGCGUAGUAGCUAACACCUCGCAACUGGAACGCGCGCGGCCAUGCCGUAAAACCCCAACUUCUGAAUGUUGACCUCGGAUCAGGUAGGAAUACCCGCUGAACUUAAGCAUAUCAAUAAGCGGAGGA